CCGUAACUAUAACGGUCCUAAGGUAGCGAAAUUCCUUGUCGGGUAAGUUCCGACCUGCACGAAUGGCGUAAUGAUGGCCAGGCUGUCUCCACCCGAGACUCAGUGAAAUUGAACUCGCUGUGAAGAUGCAGUGUACCCGCGGCAAGACGGAAAGACCCCGUGAACCUUUACUAUAGCUUGACACUGAACAUUGAGCCUUGAUGUGUAGGAUAGGUGGGAGGCUUUGAAGUGUGGACGCCAGUCUGCAUGGAGCCGGCCUUGAAAUACCACCCUUUAAUGUUUGAUGUUCUAACGUGGACCCGUGAUCCGGGUUGCGGACAGUGUCUGGUGGGUAGUUUGACUGGGGCGGUCUCCUCCUAAAGAGUAACGGAGGAGCACGAAGGUUGGCUAAUCCUGGUCGGACAUCAGGAGGUUAGUGCAAUGGCAUAAGCCAGCUUGACUGCGAGCGUGACGGCGCGAGCAGGUGCGAAAGCAGGUCAUAGUGAUCCGGUGGUUCUGAAUGGAAGGGCCAUCGCUCAACGGAUAAAAGGUACUCCGGGGAUAACAGGCUGAUACCGCCCAAGAGUUCAUAUCGACGGCGGUGUUUGGCACCUCGAUGUCGGCUCAUCACAUCCUGGGGCUGAAGUAGGUCCCAAGGGUAUGGCUGUUCGCCAUUUAAAGUGGUACGCGAGCUGGGUUUAGAACGUCGUGAGACAGUUCGGUCCCUAUCUGCCGUGGGCGCUGGAGAACUGAGGGGGGCUGCUCCUAGUACGAGAGGACCGGAGUGGACGCAUCACUGGUGUUCGGGUUGUCAUGCCAAUGGCACUGCCCGGUAGCUAAAUGCGGAAGAGAUAAGUGCUGAAAGCAUCUAAGCACGAAACUUGCCCCGAGAUGAGUUCUCCCUGACCCUUUAAGGGUCCUGAAGGAACGUUGAAGACGACGACGUUGAUAGGCCGGGUGUGUAAGCGCAGCGAUGCGUUGAGCUAACCGGUACUAAUGAACCGUGAGG
rnacentral:rRNA from 1 species